UCAUGUUAGCCAGAAACCUAGACUCAAAUUUAACUAAGAAAUGAAUUUACUGGGAAGAAAGUAGAUGACCCAGAAUCAAGAGGAAAUGUUAACAAUCUGGUUUAGAAAGUGAGAGAGAACUAAAGGAAACUAAUUUAGCUGUGCGGCAAUCAAUUAAUGCCAUGCUAAAGAUCCCACAUUCAUGCCACUGCUCUCUCUGCAGGUGCUGCCCUCGCCCAGGUGGAGCCACAGCUGCUGGUGCUCAAGGAACAGUCCUCUACCAACAAGCUUCCGUGAAUCUCUCUGGAGUCAAUGUCCCAGAGCAUUUUAGGCUAACUGAAGCCACAGACUGGCUAUGGAACCCUGACUCUGAUCCCGUGUGCAUCGUCAAGGUGGAAGGAGCAUAUAAUAAAUUUUAUCUCUGACCUGAGAAAACCCUACAAACUCACAUAAGACCAUCAAUCAAAAUCAGCAGAAUCCUGGAAGACUGAUAUUUCAUAUUAGCAUUAUAAUUUGGAUGUCGGUAUGUAAGUGUACUGGCUUGAAUGGUCUCCCCUAAAAAUCUGUGUCAUUUCCACCUGGAACUACCUGGAACCAUAUAAGAGAGAAAUUUGGACACAGAGGCACAGACACACAUGGGUAACACCAUAUGACCAUGGAGGAAUGAUGCACCUAUAAGCCAAUGAAUGCCAAGAAUUGACAGAAAUUUCUAGAAGUUAAAAGAGUCAACAAAGUCUCCCCUAGAGAUUUUGGCUCUGCCAAAACCUUCAUUUAGAGCUUCUAGCCUCCAGAAUUAUGAGAGAACGCAUUUCUGUUGUUUGAAGCCACACAGUUUGUGUCAUCCAUUAGGGCACCCUAGGAAACUAGUAUAGUACACACUUAGUGUUAUAAAAUGAUCAGAAUUUAUGUUUAUUUUAAUUGCAUAUUUAAAUAUAUAUGAGCGAGCCCAUAGAAACUUUGAAAAAUUUCUCAUUCUAAAAUACGAGCCUUUUUAUACAAAUGCAUACCUAUAUAUUUUUACUGAUAUCUUCUGUGUUCUGAAACUUAAUGCAUCUUUAUAAUAACUUGAUGUGGUUUUACCACAGAAAAGAAUUUUUAGUUUGUAUCAGAAUAAACUAGUUUUUCUGGUUAAAUAAAAAUUCA
rnacentral:lncRNA from 1 species